GGAGGUGUAGCUCAGUGGUAGAGUACUUGUCCAGCAUGCAUGAGGCCUUGGGUUCAACUCCUAGUACUACAA
rnacentral:tRNA from 1 species